rfam:Pseudomonas syringae strain GAW0119 contig100.1, whole genome shotgun sequence.
UCACAACGCCGGGCCCCUCUGACAGCGAAUCGCUGCCAUGUCGGAGUUGCAGU